CCGUGGCACAGCAGAAGAGCAUCUGCUUUGUGUGCAGGUGGUCGCAGGUUCAAUCCGUGCCAGGUAGG